rnacentral:rRNA from 1 species
UCGAGGAUCUUCGGCAAUGGGCGCAAGCCUGACCGAGCGACGCCGCGUGCGGGAUGAAGGCCUUCGGGUUGUAAACCGCUGUCAGAGGGGAUGAAAUGCCGGUGGGUUCUCUCAUCGGUUUGACAUAUCUUCAGAGGAAGUACGGGCUAAGUUCGUGCCAGCAGCCGCGGUAAGACGAACCGUACGAACGUUAUUCGGAAUCACUGGGCUUAAAGGGUGCGUAGGCUGCGCGGAAAGUUGGGUGUGAAAUCCCUCGGCUCAACCGAGGAACUGCGCCCAAAACUACCGUGCUCGAGGGAGACAGAGGUGAGCGGAACUUAGGGUGGAGCGGUGAAAUGCGUUGAUAUCCUAAGGAACACCCGUGGCGAAAGCGGCUCACUGGGUCUCUUCUGACGCUGAGGCACGAAAGCUAGGGUAGCGAACGGGAUUAGAUACCCCCGUAGUCC